ACGAACGCUGGCGGCGUGCCUAAUACAUGCAAGUCGAACGCUUCUUUUUCCACCGGAGCUUGCUCCACCGGAAAAAGAGGAGUGGCGAACGGGUGAGUAACACGUGGGUAACCUGCCCAUCAGAAGGGGAUAACACUUGGAAACAGGUGCUAAUACCGUAUAACAAUCGAAACCGCAUGGUUUUGAUUUGAAAGGCGCUUUCGGGUGUCGCUGAUGGAUGGACCCGCGGUGCAUUAGCUAGUUGGUGAGGUAACGGCUCACCAAGGCGACGAUGCAUAGCCGACCUGAGAGGGUGAUCGGCCACAUUGGGACUGAGACACGGCCCAAACUCCUACGGGAGGCAGCAGUAGGGAAUCUUCGGCAAUGGACGAAAGUCUGACCGAGCAACGCCGCGUGAGUGAAGAAGGUUUUCGGAUCGUAAAACUCUGUUGUUAGAGAAGAACAAGGAUGAGAGUAACUGUUCAUCCCUUGACGGUAUCUAACCAGAAAGCCACGGCUAACUACGUGCCAGCAGCCGCGGUAAUACGUAGGUGGCAAGCGUUGUCCGGAUUUAUUGGGCGUAAAGCGAGCGCAGGCGGUUUCUUAAGUCUGAUGUGAAAGCCCCCGGCUCAACCGGGGAGGGUCAUUGGAAACUGGGAGACUUGAGUGCAGAAGAGGAGAGUGGAAUUCCAUGUGUAGCGGUGAAAUGCGUAGAUAUAUGGAGGAACACCAGUGGCGAAGGCGGCUCUCUGGUCUGUAACUGACGCUGAGGCUCGAAAGCGUGGGGAGCAAACAGGAUUAGAUACCCUGGUAGUCCACGCCGUAAACGAUGAGUGCUAAGUGUUGGAGGGUUUCCGCCCUUCAGUGCUGCAGCUAACGCAUUAAGCACUCCGCCUGGGGAGUACGACCGCAAGGUUGAAACUCAAAGGAAUUGACGGGGGCCCGCACAAGCGGUGGAGCAUGUGGUUUAAUUCGAAGCAACGCGAAGAACCUUACCAGGUCUUGACAUCCUUUGACCACUCUAGAGAUAGAGCUUCCCCUUCGGGGGCAAAGUGACAGGUGGUGCAUGGUUGUCGUCAGCUCGUGUCGUGAGAUGUUGGGUUAAGUCCCGCAACGAGCGCAACCCUUAUUGUUAGUUGCCAUCAUUUAGUUGGGCACUCUAGCAAGACUGCCGGUGACAAACCGGAGGAAGGUGGGGAUGACGUCAAAUCAUCAUGCCCCUUAUGACCUGGGCUACACACGUGCUACAAUGGGAAGUACAACGAGUCGCAAUGUCGCGAGGCUAAGCUAAUCUCUUAAAGCUUCUCUCAGUUCGGAUUGUAGGCUGCAACUCGCCUACAUGAAGCCGGAAUCGCUAGUAAUCGCGGAUCAGCACGCCGCGGUGAAUACGUUCCCGGGCCUUGUACACACCGCCCGUCACACCACGAGAGUUUGUAACACCCGAAGUCGGUGAGGUAACCUUUUGGAGCCAGCCGCCUAAGGUGGGAUAGAUGAUUGGGGUG
rnacentral:rRNA from 1 species